AGUAACACGUGGGUAACCUGCCUUAUAGUGGGGGAGUAGCCUUUCGAAAGGAAGAUUAAUACCGCAUAAGAUUGUAGUAUCGCAUGAUAUAACAAUUAAAGGAGCAAUUCGCUAUAAGAUGGACCCGCGUCGCAUUAGCUAGUUGGUGAGGUAAUGGCUCACCAAGGCGACGAUGCGUAGCCGACCUGAGAGGGUGAACGGCCACAUUGGGACUGAGACACGGCCCAGACUCCUACGGGAGGCAGCAUG
rnacentral:rRNA from 1 species